UUUUUUUUGUUAUUUUAAUUAAAUUUAUUUAGUGUAAUAUAAAAAUAUAAUGUUUGAGUAAUUAAUAAAAAUUAAUUUUUUAAAAUUUAAAAUUAGUAAUGAAAAUGAUUAUUUUAAUAAUUAUUAAGUAAAUUUUAUUUAUUGUACCUUUUGUAUCAGGGUUGAUUAAUAAAAAUAUUUAUAGUUAAAUAAAUCUCGAAUUUAAAAGAUUUAAUCAAAAAUUUUAGUUAUUGUUAAAUUAAUAUUAUUAAUUUUUGAUUGGUAGUGAAAUGUUAAACGAUUUUAAAUAUAUCUAGUUUUUUAAGAAUUGAAUUUUAAUUCAGCUUUAAAAUUUUUAUUUAAUUAAUUUAAUAAAUUAAUUAUAAUUUUAAUGUAAAUAUAUUAGGGAUAAACCUGAUAUAUUAUUUAUAAUUAUUUUUUUAAUUAUUUAUAAGUAUUUAUAAAAUUUGAUAUCUUUUUAAAAAAUUUUAUAAUUUAUAUGUUUAUUUAUUUAAAUUUGAAAAAUUAAUUUUAGUUAAAUUUAUUAAAAAUAUUUAUUUAAUAUUUAUUUAUUUGAUAAAAUGAUUAUAUUAGUAAAUAAUAUUGUGUUUAAAAAUUAAUUUUAAAUUAAUUUAUUUUAAGGAAUUAGACAAAUAAAUUAAUUAAAUUAUAUAUUUACCUGUUUAUCAAAAACAUGUCUUAUUGAGUGUAUAAUAAGUCUAUUCUGCCCAUUGAAUUUAAAAUUUUAAAGGCUGCAGUAUACUGACUGUACAAAGGUAGCAAAAUCAAUAGUUUUUUAAUUGAAAACUUGUAUGAAAGAAUUAAUAAAAUAUAGAUUGUCUCAAAUUAAUAAUAUUAAAUUUAAAUAAAAAGUAAAAAUGCUUUUAUUUUUUUAUUAGACGAGAAGACCCUAAGAAUUUAAUAAUUUAUUUAAUUAAUUAUAUUUAUAAUUAAAUUUGAUUAAUUUAAUUAUUUUACUGGGAGGGUAAUUAAAAAUUUUUAACUUUAAUUUAAAAUUAACUUUGAUUAAUGAUUAUUUGAUAAUUUUAAUAAUUAUGAGAUUUAAUUACCUUAGGGAUAACAGCGUAAUAAUUUUGGAGAGUUCAUAUUGAUAAAAUUGUUUGCGACCUCGAUGUUGAAUUAAAAUAAAAAUUAAAUGGAGAUAUUUAAAAUUUUAGUCUGUUCGACUAUUAAAAUUUUACAUGAUUUGAGUUCAGAUCGGCGUAAGCCAGAUCGGAUUUUAUCUAUAAAUAAUUAGGUAUUUUAUUGUACGAAAGGACUUAAAAUAUAAAAUAAUUUUUUUUAUAUGAUUUUUAUUAAUAUAUAUAUAUAUAUGUAUAUAUAUAUAUAUAUGUAGAUUUAUUAAUUUUAAAAUUUU
rnacentral:rRNA from 1 species